UAUUUACAUUAAUUUUUUAAAUCCAAAAUAUUCCAAUGUAAGACUUUAGCUCACUCACCGAUUAAAAAUUCAAAUAUAACUAUUUAUUUAUGUCAUCAUUCAAUGCAUUUAUGAAGGACUACUAAAGAUAAUUCAUGUAUAAUGGUAAUGCUCUGAACAAAGGUAUGGAGAGAGUUAUAUGCACAAGAAACUGCUGUGUAGAAGUUUAUCUAUCUAAUCCUAAGUCAUCGACACGUUUUUGUUACAUAAUUUGCGUUGAUACUACUAAGAAUGUAGUUCUUCUUAAUUGCAAAAUUGUUAUUGCCAAGAAUCGGAUUCAAUAUUAUGAAGUGCACCAUAAAUAAUUUCCAUUGUCAUCGUUUAGAAAAACAAAAUUAUAAAAACUUAAUUGAAAUUUUUAUUUAAGUCACAUAUUUACUCGAGUUUCAUAAAAA
rnacentral:lncRNA from 1 species